GGGCCGGAGCCUGUGCCUGCGCCUGCGCCUGCGCCGGGUUUGUCCGGUACGGCUGUGCCGCUCGGUGUGCACCGCUCCUCGGGACAGCGUGUGCCGGGGCCCUCCUCGGGAAAUAUUUCUUCCUUCUAUGGAAACCAACGAGCACCCGGGCCUGCACUCUUGAUAUAAAUACCCGGUGAUGACCGACUUAUUGCGGGCGACCGGGCGACGAAUCCACCGUUGGGACAGCACUGCCGGUGUCAGGCCGUUCUUCCUAGAAAGAAAGAAAGAAAAAAAAUCUAAAAUCUUUAAGAUAUGUGUGGGAUCUGUUGAGUCACAGCCUGAACCACGGAUUGAUCACCUGUGGAAAGGACCCAGUCAGCCCUGAGAGCACAGGUGAAAGCAAUUCAUGUGUGCGAAUGGAAGGAGGGGAGCCUGGCUGCAGCUCUCUUAGAUCUCAUUUAAGGGCUGACUGCUGCUGGGGAGGAUCUUUGCCUGGUGAGCCCUCCUUGGUGAAGCUUCUUCCUGUGAAUCUGGAAUUUUCUGGUACAGGGGAGCAAUCUUCUUCCCUUCCUUUAUAGCACCUCUCUGUUGUGUGAUGACAGAAGGACUAGCACCUCCGUUGUAUUGCUUUUCCUAUUGUACUGAUCUGUCUAAUUGCUACAGUGUAUCUACUAAAAGCAAAAGAAAAGAAUAUCAAGCAAAAUGAACUUUAUUGCCCUUUUAAGGAUACAGUAUAGUACACUUCAGAAAUACCCUCUCAUCUGUAAUUAUUCUUAAACCCCAGAAAUUUUCAUACUAGAAUUGGUUCUAGCAAUUAUCUCUUCAAGGCUCUCUCUCAAUCUGUUAAUUAACUAUUUGAAUUUUUUUCCUUACAUCAAAAUCUUUUGUUACUAAACAGGCUGAUUGUGUUUUCUGCAGGUGGAUUUGCCACAAGGUUUCUUACAAUGACUAACAGUAGAAGGAAAUGUGCUCUGAAGGGGUGUGCUUGCAAGUCGGCUCAAGAGAAAUGAAAAUCGUUGUAGCGGGGACCCUGCCUGGGAGCAGAGCAUUACCAAAUACGUUACUAUGCAAAGAAUCUCAUGUUGAAUAAUUUAGAAAUACCUUUUUGUUAGUGGUCAAGUAAAACAUGGCAACAGAGGGUAAUCUCAGGAAAAAGAGGGGAUAAAAACAUCUCUAUCAAGCCCAGACUUGAUGGGAAAGGAAGAGCUGAACAAGUGUGCGUGUCUGGGGGUGUUCAUCUUCUAGACUGCACCCAGAGAAGGAGAAUGAUUGUGAUGCUGCAGUCUCGGAACUCCAGUCAGUACACAAAUGGAAGGAUUUCUGGGCUGAGAUGAAUUUAUCUCCGCAGCUUCUAAUCUUUUGGAUUUUGUGUUCUAGUGCAGUGAAGCUUUUGGGCAUGAUUUAUCAUCACUAUAGCUAACACUGUAUGGGAAAAAAACUGACUUUAGAUCUUACAUCAAAGCUUUUAACAAAGCUUGUUUCCCUGGAUUUUACUUGCUUUCCAUUGUCUCCACCUCUCUGGUGCCUCUUUAAA
rnacentral:lncRNA from 1 species